rnacentral:rRNA from 1 species
AACGAACGCUGGCGGCAUGCCUAACCCAUGCAAGUCGAACGAGACCUUCGGGUCUAGUGGCGCACGGGUGCGUAAAGCGUGGGAACCUGCCCUUAGGUUCGGAAUAACUCCCCGACAGGGGUGCUAAUACCGGCUAAUGUCUUCGGACCAAAGAUUUAUCGCCUUUGGAUGGGCCCGCGUUGGAUUAGCUAGUUGGUAGGGCAAAAGCCUACCAAGGCGACGAUCCAUAGCUGGUCUGAGAGGAUGAUCAGCCACACUGGGACUGAGACACGGCCCAGACUCCUACGGGAGGCAGCAGUGGGGAAGAUUGGACAAUGGGCGAAAGCCUGAUCCAGCAAUGCCGCGUGAGUGAUGAAGGCCUUAGGGUUGUAAAGCUCUUUUACCCGGGAUGAUAAUGACAGUACCGGGAGAAUAAGCUCCGGCUAACUCCGUG